rnacentral:rRNA from 1 species
GUGGGGAAUCUUAGACAAUGGGGGAAACCCUGAUCUAGCCAUGCCGCGUGAUCGAUGAAGGCCUUAGGGUUGUAAAGAUCUUUCGCUGGGGAAGAUAAUGACUGUACCCAGUAAAGAAGCCCCGGCUAACUCCGUGCCAGCAGCCGCGGUAAUACGGAGGGGGCUAGCGUUAUUCGGAAUUACUGGGCGUAAAGCGCACGUAGGCGGACUGGAAAGUUGGGGGUGAAAUCCCGGGGCUCAACCUCGGAACUGCCUUCAAAACUCCCAGUCUUGAGUUCGAGAGAGGUGAGUGGAAUUCCGAGUGUAGAGGUGAAAUUCGUAGAUAUUCGGAGGAACACCAGUGGCGAAGGCGGCUCACUGGCUCGAUACUGACGCUGAGGUGCGAAAGCGUGGGGAGCAAACAGGAUUAGAAACCCCGGUAGUCC